rfam:Erinaceus europaeus unplaced genomic scaffold scaffold00054, whole genome shotgun sequence
GGAUGUGAGGGCGAUCUGGCUGCAACAUCUGUCACCCCAUUGAUCGCCAGGGUUGAUUUGACGAAUCUGGCUGGCUAGGUGGGUGUCCCCUUCCUCCCUCACUGCUCCAUGUGCGUCCCUCCUGAAGCUGUGCUUGUGAUCAAAGAGGACGGCCUUCCCUGAAUAGAGACGGACCGUGGACAGUAUACGUACAGUAGCUCCUCUCCCCUGCUAGAGCCUCCAAACAAGUUCUCAAGAUGUUCUAUAACAUCUCACAGGUCAGGCGUCAGGCAGUGAUGCAUCUGGUACAGCACACAUAAGGACACUGGUUCAAGCCCUUGAUCCUU